UACGUAGGGGGCAAGCGUUGUCCGGAAUUAUUGGGCGUAAAGGGCGUGCAGGCGGCCGCGCAAGUCUUGUGUUUAAUCCCGGGGCUCAACCUCGGGGCGCACGGGAAACUGGGCGGCUUGAGUGCAGGAGAGGAGAGCGGAAUUCCACGUGUAGCGGUGAAAUGCGUAGAGAUGUGGAGGAACACCAGUGGCGAAGGCGGCUCUCUGGCCUGUAACUGACGCUGAGGCGCGAAAGCGUGGGGAGCGAACAGG
rnacentral:misc_RNA from 1 species